ACACGACUACAUUAGAACCCGGGUAGUCCCAGCCGUAAACUAUGCGCGUUAGGUGUAUCGGUGACCACGAGUUACCGAGGUGCCGAAGGGAAACCGUGAAACGUGCCGCCUGGGAAGUACGGUCGCAAGGCUGAAACUUAAAGGAAUUGGCGGGGAGCACCACAACAGGUGGAGCCUGCGGUUUAAUUGGACUCAACGCCGGGAAGCUCACCGGAUAAGACAGCGGAAUGAUUGCCGGGCUGAAGACUCUGCAUGACUAGCUG
rnacentral:rRNA from 1 species